ACACUUGGUUCAGAACUAACAUCACACCACCAAACACUUCUGACAUUAUCUUUACAGGGAAGAUUUUCUAAUGGCUGGUGUUGAGGCCUUAGCUGAUGACCUAGAUUUGGAUCCUUUUGAAGAAAGUUUCAAAUCCAUGGAUCUAGCUACGGAUGCAGUCCAAAUUGAUGAGGACCAAGCAAACAACUUACUCAACAGUGUGCUGGGAUCCUAAAGGGAAUUUCCAUCCUACUUGUGUGGCUGAAGGACAUCUUCAACCAAUUUUGGUACAUUUGCCAGAAAGCACAACAUUGUGAUAUGUUUAAUGACAUGUGGGUGGGUGUGCUUCACCAUGUCACAGGGAAGCAUGAAUGGACCCGUGGCAAAUGUGACCAUGGACCACUUGAUGCAACGACCAGUGAUAAAGAGCUCAUGGUGCCAUGAUCUCCACCACACGAGGCUCUUCAACGAAUCAUGUUCAACAGACGCUGGUUGAAGGAUGUCACCAAUCUGACCUUUAGGCCCCAGCUACGUGAAGCAUCAAAAGACAGGAAUGACUUCUUUCAUGCACACAGAUUUAUUAGAAA